rnacentral:rRNA from 1 species
AAUAGAUACCCUGGUAGUCCACGCCGUAAACGAUGAGUGCUAAGUGUUGGGGGUUUCCGCCCCUCAGUGCUGCAGCUAACGCAUUAAGCACUCCGCCUGGGGAGUACGGUCGCAAGACUGAAACUCAAAGGAAUUGACGGGGGCCCGCACAAGCGGUGGAGCAUGUGGUUUAAUUCGAAGCAACGCGAAGAACCUUACCAGGUCUCGACAUCCCGGUGACCACUAUGGAGACAUAGUUUCCCCUUCGGGGGCAACGGUGACAGGUGGUGCAUGGUUGUCGUCAGCUCGUGUCGUGAGAUGUUGGGUUAAGUCCCGCAACGAGCGCAACCCUUAUUCUUAGUUGCCAUCAUUCAGUUGGGCACUCUAAGGAGACUGCCGGUGAUAAACCGGAGGAAGGUGGGGAUGACGUCAAAUCAUCAUGCCCCUUAUGACCUGGGCUACACACGUGCUACAAUGGACGGUACAAACGGUUGCCAACCCGCGAGGGGAGCUAAUCCGAUAAAACCGUUCUCAGUUCGGAUUGUAGGCUGCAACUCGCCUAC